GGGCACUUGGCACAGUUGGUAGCGCGCACGCUUCGCAUUCUAAAAUCUCUGCGUGAGGUCGUGGGUUCAAUUCCCACAGUGUCCA